ensembl:ncRNA asRNA:CR46081 antisense RNA:CR46081
CAUGACCCCAUGAGAACUUGCCCAGAAACCAGCGAGCCUCUUCCGUGAAUCCACAGAUGUAUAGAGUGGCGGCUAUGGCCUCCACGCAGCUGAGCUUGCAGGGCUUUCCGUAGUUGAUGGGAUUGGCGGCCACCAAGAAGGGCAGCAGUCGCGGAUGUGGGCUGCGCAUCCUUCCAAAGGGCGUCUCGUCCAGCUUGGCCCACGAGCAGUCGAUCACGGCCACGCCCGAAGAGGCCACCACAUCGCGAUCCAGCGGACUUACACACAACUGGCCAACGGGCGAGAGGACAAGGCCAGGAAACUUCUGACCCAGUCGAAGAUUUGAAAUGAGUCCUAGGCGUGCCAGUUUCCUGCCCGAACACUUCUUUGGAUCGCAGUGGUUGAGGUCCCACAUGGCCACCGCAAACUCCGGCGGCUGGCCGAGAUCAUUUUGGGCUCCAUCUCCCGAGGAUUCCGAGUCGGAACUUUCAUUUUCGCUGCUACUGCUGCUGGCCAGCUCGUUGGCCUGCUGAGCAAAGCUGCGGGCACAAUUGUGAUUCGCUUUGACAUUGCGGUAGGGUCCUCCUCCACCCUUCUUUCCUUUGCCGCGGUUCCGUCCACUCAUUAUGUUUUGGUUU